GACGAACGCUGGCGGCGUGCUUAACACAUGCAAGUCGAACGGUGAAGCGCCUUCCUUUUUGGUGGGUGUGGAUGAGUGGCGAACGGGUGAGUAACACGUGAGUAACCUGCCCCCUUCUUCUGGAUAACCGCAUGAAAGUGUGGCUAAUACGGGAUAUUCUGGGUCUGUCGCAUGAUGGGUCUGGGAAAGAUAUUGUUUCGGUGGGGGAUGGGCUCGCGGCCUAUCAGCUUGUUGGGGGGGUGAUGGCCUACCAAGGCGAUGCCGGGUAGCCGGCAUGAGAGGGUCGACCGCCCGAGGGGGAAGGCGCGCUCGACACGCCUCCUAUGGGCAGCAGCAGUGAGUAAUACUGAAUGAGGGGAGGAAGCAUGAUGCAGCGACGCCGCGUGAGGGAUGGAGGCCGUAGGGUUGUGAACCUCUUUCGCCAGUGAAGCAGGCCUGACUUGUUUGUGGGUGGGUUGACGGUAGCUGGAUAAGAAGCGCCGGCUAACUACGUG
rnacentral:rRNA from 1 species